CCCGACUGCUAUUUGGGUGAGAAUAAGCCAUGCGAGUCGAAUGGGAUACCUAAAAUUCCCAUGGCAAACUGCUCAGUAACACAUGAUCAACUUACCCUAUAGAGAAAAAUAACCUCGGGAAACUGAGGACAAUAUUUCAUAGUUGAAUCGGCUUGGAAAAGUUUUUCAAUUAAAGGGAUAAGAAAAAUGGUUCUUAUUCGCUAUAGGAUAGGAUCGUGGACGAUUAUGGUUGUUGGUGAGGUAACGGCUCACCAAGCCGAUAAUCGAUAGGGGCCGUGAGAGCGGGAGCCCCGAGAUGGGUACUGAGACAACGACCCAGGCCUUACGAGGCGCAGCAGGCGCGGAACCUCCGCAAUACACGAAAGUGUGACGGGGUUACCCAAAGUGUUCAAUAUUGAACUGUGGUAGGUGAGUAAUGUCCCCUACUAGAAAGGAGAGGGCAAGGCUGGUGCCAGCCGCCGCGGUAAAACCAGCUCUUCAAGUGGUCGGGAUAAUUAUUGGGCUUAAAGUGUCCGUAGCCGGUUUAGUAAGUUCCUGGUAAAAUCGGGUAGCUUAACUAUCUGUAUGCUAGGAAUACUGCUAUACUAGAGGACGGGAGAGGUCUGAGGUACUACAGGGGUAGGGGUGAAAUCUUAUAAUCCUUGUAGGACCACCAGUGGCGAAGGCGUCAGACUGGAACGUGCCUGACGGUGAGGGGCGAAAGCCAGGGGAGCAAACCGGAUUAGAUACCCGGGUAGUCCUGGCCGUAAACGAUGCAUACUAGGUGAUGGUACGGCCAUGAGCCGUAUCAGUGCCGUAGGGAAACCGUUAAGUGUGCCGCCUGGGAAGUACGGUCGCAAGGCUAAAACUUAAGGGAAUUGGCGGGGGAGCACCACAAGGGGUGAAGCCUGCGGUUC
rnacentral:rRNA from 1 species